rnacentral:tRNA from 1 species
UCCCUGGUGGUCCAGGGGCUAAGACUCUGCGCUCUCAAUGUAGGGGGCCCGGGGUUCAAUCCCUGGUCAGGGAA